UGAAAAUCAGGUUUGAACCCCCUGUGUACAAAAUAGGAAAGUCCAGAUACCCUGUUGUAAUCUACUGCAGUACACAGCAUGGUGAAGCUGAAUUUGUGUAGGCUGCUCAUUACUGGUAUUUUGACUAAUUCAAUUUCUAAGUGUACAAUUGUACAUGUACAACAUUAGAACGACAAUUAGAGAUAACAACAUGGUACAAACAAGAGUCCAGUACAAAAAGUAGAAAGAUAAACAUAAUAAAAGACAAAAGUACUGACCCAGGGCCAGAUUCAGUAGCAGAGGAGCUGAAAUGCCUGAGACGGGAUCAUACACAGCUUCAGGAAGAAUAUCAAAGGCUUCUUCUGGAAAAUAGUGCCUUAAAACAAGAGCUUAACAAUAAGAAAUUAAUAUAUAAGAACUUGGACAAGAGUAAAAUGUUGUCAUAGACUGGUAUACCAUCUGUUGGUGUGUUCCAUUGGAUAUUAGGGCUUGUUUCUAUAUGGUUUAAAACAAAUGUAUGUAAUUUAUGCCCAGGAGAUCAGCUUCGUCUAGUACUUCUGAAACUCAGACUGAAUCAAACAAACAAAGAUCUGGCUAUAAGAUUUGGUACAUGUCCAACACAAGUAUCCAGGAGUUUGGAGAUCUUGUCUAAGCUGACAGAGGCUUUCUUAAUGAGGAAGAGUUGACUGUUCAUGGCGCUUCACUUGCCAUCCCUCCUUUCGGAAGAGGGAAGAAACAAUUCUCACAGCAGGAAGUGGAAUUUGCUAGAAAAUUAUCAGUCAAGGAUUCAUUUGGAAUUUAGGGCCAUUGAAUGGAUAAAAAACUUCCAGAUUUUAAAACAUACUAUGUCUAUCUCUCUGAUAAGGCAUGCAGAUGACAUUUUAGAUAUUUGUGGAGAGUUGACAAACAUGCUAAAAUUGCGAAGUAAAGUGGAAGUGAAAUGCUUAUGCUGAGACACAGGGACAAGCAUACAAAACAAGUCUAAAUGUUUUCUUAAGCUGUUCAUUUUAAACUAAUUGUGUAACAAAGGUUUUUUCAUCAUAUAUUUUCAAAAACUAGAAGCAAUUAUAAUGAGACAUUUUUUUCAUUCUACAAUAAAAUAUUUAAAGGUGA
rnacentral:lncRNA from 1 species